rnacentral:rRNA from 1 species
UACGUAGGGGGCAAGCGUUGUCCGGAAUUAUUGGGCGUAAAGAGCUCGUAGGCGGCUUGUCACGUCGGGUGUGAAAGCCCGGGGCUUAACCCCGGGUCUGCAUUCGAUACGGGCUGGCUAGAGUGUGGUAGGGGAGAUCGGAAUUCCUGGUGUAGCGGUGAAAUGCGCAGAUAUCAGGAGGAACACCGGUGGCGAAGGCGGAUCUCUGGGCCAUUACUGACGCUGAGGAGCGAAAGCGUGGGGAGCGAACAGG